UACAGGAGUCUCAAGUACCCAAGGAUACUAGAGUUAAAUGCCAGGCUGCUAUUGACAGCUCGGAGCGGACUAGAAAAAUCUUGGAAGCUUAAAAUGAUUUAUCUGUUUCGGGUGAAUAAGAGAGACACUACUUGUAAAUAGUUAGUAUAUAGAGUAUUUUGUUGGGCAUUCAACUGUGAAUAAUGUCAUGUUAUAUUUAAAUUUUAAUAUACCUUUGUAUAUUGACUGUGUUAAAUAUUUUUUGUAAUUUAAUGUUUCAACUUUUCUUGUUUUGGGGAUCCUAUUUAUCAUGAGUUUUUGUAUUCAAUUUAUUUAGUUUAUAUAAAUAAAUUGAAUCCCCUCCCCCCAGUGUAGAAAAUAUUUUAUCGUGAACCAAAAUUGGAGAAGUUGAAAGUAAUGUCUUUUGUUGUUAAGUAUAAGAUAAGUAUCAAACUUCCUAAAUAUUAUUCGUAAUAUGUUUAUCAUGUUCAAGUGUUGAGCGGGGCUGACUUUUAGUUCCUCUAAACAACCUUGUUAUUAGUGAUCUGCCGCCUAGGAUUGUUUUUUAAGGUGAACUGCUUGUUUACGCUGUUGUCCGAGAGCUGGAAGUAUUUGUCGAGGCGAGCGGAGUUCCCAACCCAAGAGAGUUCUCAGGCAAAAUCCUUGUUGAAUGGUGGACGUUUUUACAACUCUCGCUCAUGGAAGGAUAAACCCCUAGUGAGACUGACACUAUGCCACUUUGGGGGGCAGCAGGAGCAACAGUAAUUUAGUGAACGGCAGGAGUAUUGAGGCUGUCACAUGGUUUUGUAUAAUCAAAAGGAUUUCGACGGAUAUGAUGCUCCUAACUACCGUGGAAUCAUGAAACCUUAUCAUGAAGCAUUUAGAAAUUGCUUCAUCAACAACUGUGUUGGUUUGGUUUGGAAUGGAGCCUCCAAUUUAUGCUACUUGAAGAUAAAAACAGAAGAAGAAACUGGAACCAGAAUGAAUUCAAACAGCAACAGCUAUUUCUGGAAGGCUGUAUGCCAGUAAAAGUCAUCAAACACGCCACCUUCGCAGAAUAAAACUAGCCUGCCAAGCGAUGCUGUGGCCUAUAAAUGCCAUUUCUUCAAAGUCAGGAGUAAUUCAUU